rnacentral:tRNA from 3 species
GCCGACUUAGCUUCAAUUGGUAGAGCAACUGACUUGUAAUCAGUAGGUUAUAAGUUCGAGUCUUAUAGUCGGCA